rnacentral:rRNA from 1 species
UACGUAGGUGGCGAGCGUUAUCCCGGAAUUACUGGGCGUAAAGGGCGCGUAGGCGGCUUAUCAAGUCAGGCGUGAAAUUCCCGGGCUCAACCUGGGGACUGCGCUUGAUACGGCGGGGCUUGAGGGCAGGAGAGGCUCGCGGAAUUCCCAGUGUAGAGGUGAAAUUCGUAGAUAUUGGGAAGAACACCGAUGGCGAAGGCAGCCAUCUGGACCGACACUGACGCUGAGGCGCGAAAGCGUGGGGAGCGAACAGG